rnacentral:misc_RNA from 1 species
AUUUAUAUCCAAUUAGUUUUUU